CUGGAUUAGCCGACGGUCUGUGCUACUGACAGAUUUUACUCUGUUUAGGUCAUUCUGCCAACGAUACUGUGUCUUUUUCGAGUUAAAGAAGGAUACAAGAAAAGGAGGAAUGGCCUCUAGUCAUGGCAUCACUAAUUGCUUCUUUUUACCAGUUUUGAACAUUAAACUUUAAAUUGUAUUGAAGAAAGCUUUUCCCAGUUGACUGAAAACUUAUAUAGUUAAGAAGACUCAAACUCGAGACUUCUCACUGUAAGAAGACCAGACACACCUAGUUGAGGAAGGAAGCUUCCUCCGAAUUCUUAAGCUAUAUCAAUUAUUAGUUUAUUACUGUUAUAAGUAGUGGGCUGAAAGUGACUUUUUUUGUUGAAAAAGAAAAGAAAAACUGUUGUGCAAUAUUAGUUAGGUUCCGAAACUUCAUGGAAAGGAAAGAUUUGGCAAAGUAUGAUUCACAUUAUUAUUAUUUUAUUUGAAGCUACUGAUCUAACAAUUGUUAACACCUAAAUGAUUCAAUUACAUUAUUUAUAAAGUUGCUUAAGAACAUGCACAAGUAUAAAGGCCGGAACAACUGGAGAUGGAACUUUCUUGGGCUCUGAAAAAUACUGCAAUUGGCUAAUGGUUAUGGAUAAGCAAAGUUGUAUUUCUCGUGUACAUGGCCGUAUGCAUGCAUGUACGCUGGAGUACAAUUACAUUAUUUAUAUUUAUUUUAAUUAUCUAUUAUCAUUCUGCUAUAAAGCUAAAAGAUGCUCAUUUUAUGGUUUUUGCACGCUACUAGCCAAUAGAGGAAAUCCGAAUUCUCUUA